UACGGAGGGUGCGAGCGUUAAUCGGAAUUACUGGGCGUAAAGCGCACGCAGGCGGUUUGUUAAGCUAGAUGUGAAAGCCCCGGGCUCAACCUGGGAUGGUCAUUUAGAACUGGCAGACUAGAGUCUUGGAGAGGGGAGUGGAAUUCCAGGUGUAGCGGUGAAAUGCGUAGAUAUCUGGAGGAACAUCAGUGGCGAAGGCGACUCCCUGGCCAAAGACUGACGCUCAUGUGCGAAGGUGUGGGUAGCGAACAGG
rnacentral:rRNA from 1 species